rnacentral:rRNA from 1 species
CUCCUACGGGAGGCAGCAGUGAGGAAUAUUGGUCAAUGGGCGCAAGCCUGAACCAGCCAUGCCGCGUGCAGGAUGACGGUCCUAUGGAUUGUAAACUGCUUUUGCACAGGAAGAAACACUACCUCGUGAGGUAGCUUGACGGUACUGUGAGAAUAAGGAUCGGCUAACUCCGUGCCAGCAGCCGCGGUAAUACGGAGGAUCCAAGCGUUAUCCGGAAUCAUUGGGUUUAAAGGGUCCGUAGGCGGUCUAAUAAGUCAGUGGUGAAAGCCCAUCGCUCAACGAUGGAACGGCCAUUGAUACUGUUAGACUUGAAUUAUUUGGAAGUAACUAGAAUAUGUAGUGUAGCGGUGAAAUGCUUAGAGAUUACAUGGAAUACCAAUUGCGAAGGCAGGUUACUACAAAUGGAUUGACGCUGAUGGACGAAAGCGUGGGUAGCGAACAGGAUUAGAUACCCUGGUAGUCCACGCCGUAAACGAUGGAUACUAGCUGUUCGGAGCAAUCUGAGUGGCUAAGCGAAAGUGAUAAGUAUCCCACCUGGGGAGUACGUUCGCAAGAAUGAAACUCAAAGGAAUUGACGG